AUUGAACGCUGGCGGCAGGCCUAACACAUGCAAGUCGAGCGGAUGAAGGUAGCUUGCUCCUGGAUUCAGCGGCGGACGGGUGAGUAAUGCCUAGGAAUCUGCCUGGUAUUGGGGGAUAACGUCCGGAAACGGGCGCUAAUACCGCAUACGUCCUGAGGGAGAAAGUGGGGGAUCUUCGGACCUCACGCUAUCAGAUGAGCCUAGGUCGGAUUAGCUAGUUGGUGGGGUAAAGGCCUACCAAGGCGACGAUCCGUAACUGGUCUGAGAGGAUGAUCAGUCACACUGGAACUGAGAAACGGUCCAGACUCCUACGGGAGGCAGCAGUGGGGAAUAUUGGAAAAUGGGCGAAAGCCUGAUCCAGCCAUGCCGCGUGUGUGAAGAAGGUCUUCGGAUUGUAAAGCACUUUAAGUUGGGAGGAAGGGCAGUAAGUUAAUACCUUGCUGUUUUGACGUUACCAACAGAAUAAGCACCGGCUAACUUCGUG
rnacentral:rRNA from 1 species